ACAGAAUUCUUGUUCAGGGCUGCUUUCAGGAUUUUCUCUUUGUCUCUGAUACUUGUAAGUUUAACUAUUAGAUGAUGUGGUGUGGACCUAUUUUUAAUUGAUUUUGAGGGGGUUCUCUAU